rnacentral:rRNA from 1 species
UACGGGGGGGGGCAAGCGUUGUUCGGAAUUACUGGGCGUAAAGGGCUCGUAGGUGGCCAACUAAGUCAGACGUGAAAUCCCCAGGCUCAACUUGGGAACUGCGUCUGAUACUGGAUGGCUUGAAUUCGGGAGAGGGAUGCAGAAUUCCAGGUGUAGCGGUGAAAUGCGUAGAUAUCUGGAGGAAUACCGGUGGCGAAGGCGGCAUCCUGGACCGAUAUUGACACUGAUGAGCGAAAGCUAGGGGAGCAAACGGG